UAUUUUUCUAACCACAUAUUUUAGCAUCAACUGCUAUUUCAUACUUCAAUUUUUUAAAUUGAAGGCACAAACAGGGCCUUUCUUCUCUGCAGCAAAAAGGAAAAGGCAAAAAGACCCUUGAACUUUUGGGCUGCAAUCUCCCCUUUCCGUUCCCCAAAAACACCUCCACCACCGUCGUCUUCGUCGGCCGUGCCACCUAAACACCACCAUCGGCUCUAUUUCUCUUUCUUCUACAUUACAACAAACAAAAGCAUAAAAUCCCUUGAACUUCCGUCUGCAAUCUCCCAUUUCCGUUCCCAAAAACACUUCCACCGCCGACAUCUUCAUCUACUGUGCCACCUAAACACCACCAUCGGCCCACCACUCAUUCAUCUACGAUUUCUUCCACGACGUCGUUUUACAACCCCAGCACGGCAUCCGCUACUACUCCUCCAAGUGAAGCUAAAGGAAAUGUCACCGUUACUGUACGAUUUCGGCUCCUCAGUUAAUGUAUUUCUUCUUUUCUUUAAAUUCGAUGACUCCUAGAUGUUGGUAGUAAGUGGGUUCCGCAAAUACGUAGGAUAGUUUCGUUAAUGGUGUUUGGAAGACUGAUUUUUUUGGUGUAUUUGUUGACUUGUUUGUUUUUGGGAUUCUUAGGUGAUGAUAUGAGGCAUAUUUUAGUUUUCAGUAUAAUCAAUUUUAGUAUUUCUUUUUUUCCAUGAAUUCUCUUUAUUAGGACUUCAGAAUUUGUUGCUACAUAGCUCGAGAUACAAGGACUUCAGAAUUGGUUGCUAUCAAAGUGAUAUCAUUAGCUGAAGGGGACCUAAUUAUAAUCCUUUUUUUUUAAUUGCAUAUAAUAAUACUACAUAAGUUUAGUGGAUGGAAUAUGAAGUUUGAAAUCUCAUAAUUAUAGGAUGGUUUUGAAGAAAUUCGUGGUGAAAUUGACCUAAUUAUAAUCCUUUUUUUUUAAUUGCAUAUAAUAAUACUACAUAAGUUUAGUGGAUGGAAUAUGAAGUUUGAAAUCUCAUAAUUAUAGGAUGGUUAUGAAGAAAUUCGUGGUGAAAUUGAGAUGUUGCAGCAAUGUAGUCACCCUAACAUUGUUUGCUAUCUAGGUAGCUACCAAGGAGAAGAAUAGCAUUGGGUAUGAAGAAGAUCA
rnacentral:lncRNA from 1 species